CAGAAAAUAGUUUAAGUAAAAAAAUUUUAAUUUUGGAGAUUAAAGAUAGAAGGUAUUUUUUUUUCUGA
rnacentral:tRNA from 1 species